CCAGUGAUAAGCUUGGAAGUGUGGAAACUUAAACCUACCUUCACUAAUAGGUACUUGCAGUUUACAAAGUGAAUAUCUGGGUGGAACUCCUAACCAUAAAGAAGUUGUUAAUUAAUUUGUUCACAUGCUUAAAAUAUGAUGAUGUUGUUUAUUCAAACACUAGCCUGAAAAUAUCAAAAAAUAAUUAAAUCAAAUAUUCACUACAGAGAGAGAGAGAGAGAGAGAGAGAAAGAGAAAGAGAAAACACCCAAUAUACAAAUGUGGACAUGAGAUCUGAAGGUUAAUGGUAAGCAUAAGACUUACAGAGUGAUCUACAUGGUUAUGUUUACCCUCACAACAACCCUGUGAUGUAGGUUAGGCUGAGAGAUAAGUGACUAACCCAGAGUCGGUGAGUGACUUUCAUGGCUGGAUUUGAAUUCAGAUCUCCCCAGUCAGAACAUUGUGUGGAACUAUGUAUUAAAGCCAAAUCUGCGUUAUCAGAGACUUAGGCAUUGGUAUAGUAAAAUAUUUAUUUAUAUAAUUAAUUUAUUUAUCUCUUGCCCUUCCAAAAUAUUUUCUUAAAUCAGGAUGACUUAGGACAUAUUAAAAUAAUAGCAAAUUGUGAACAUGUAUGGCUAUGUCUCAGAGAUAUAACAUUUUCUGUUUCUACAUUUUAAACUAAUAAAAGCAUUUAUAAAAUCAAAUUAAAUUAAAUCAAAAUAAAAGCAAAGUUUAGAAGCAUUAAAAUAUCAAAGCGAGAGUUCAAAUAGCAGCAGAAAAGCAGUCAAUACAUUUAAAAGGCCUGAGAAAGUUAAAAAAAAUUGUCAGGCACCAGAAUGAUAUUAAAGUAGACACCAGAUGAGCUUCUACAGAGAGUGUUCCUCAGGCUGGACACCAGUGUUGUUUCAGAAUACAGUAAGGGUAUUCACACAACCUACUGGGCAAAGCAGGAGUGGGGAGAAGGUGAGAUUCCACCUACUUUCCUCCAAGAUGAUAAGGCAUGCAAGCAAGAUGCAGUGCUCGGUCAAGAAGCCCAAGCCCACAUUUGAUCCUGGGUGUGUGAUUUUAGCCUCAGCUAAGAGCCAGGCUAUGGAGCCAGGUUUGCCAGCGCAGCAUCCUAGCUUGCCUGCUUGUGAGAACAGCCUUAGUAUUUGUGCAAGAGAUUAAAGAUAGUACACAAGAGGUUGGCAAGUUACCAUAUGGAUGUGCUCUCAAUACAUCGGAGGGAGAGAAAGAUAGAGAGAAUGGUAAAAUUAAUUUAGGUACGAUAAAGCUGAAGUGAUAUAGACAAAACCAUAUAAUGCAGUGAUUCUCAAACCUGGACAUGUUGUUGGACUACUAUUCCCAUUGUUUGUAGCCACAAUGGCCCAACAGCAUCUGGGGAUCCAAAUUUCAGAACCUCUGAUAUAAUGGAUACAGAUUUAUUACUUUUAAUUAACUUUAAAUGGUUUGCAAUAAAAGAGGUAUAAAAUAAUUUAUUCAGUUAAUGGACUGAAGGACUCAGAGGCACCUCCAUCUUGUUGGGGCCCUCAGAUACUGAAGCAAGUUCUCUGAUUGGGUGAGGAAUUAGACAAUAGAAGACCAAGGAGAGAGAAAUGUGGGAGAGAUUGGAGGAGGUUUUUCAACAGAAAACUAUGACCAGUCAAGUCUCUCUCAUGAUGUAGUUGUGCAACAAAAAUUCAAAGGAGGAGAAAAGUUACAAGAGCACAUAAGCUCUUUCUUGAGAGUGUUGAAAUAAUUAAUAAUAGCAAGAGAUAAGAUUACCUGAACCAGCCAAAAUUGGGCUAUUGGUAAAUACUUUGCCUAAGCUUUAUGGAAGUAUUAUUAACUUGCUGAACAUAAAGGAGACUGUGACUUUAAGUUUUGUAUAAGAAUGUUGGCGUUUAAUCUGAGAGAACAAACAGAAAGGAUAGAAACAGUCCAGAAUUAUGCUCAUAAACAGUCCAGAAUUAUGCUCAUAAACUUACUAAUGGCAGCUAAUGUUUUGUGUGCAGAAGUACUUCACAUUUAAAGAGUACAUUUCCUAAAAGAGAUCAGACAAACAAUUUCCAAGAGAGGAAGAAAGACAAGGAUAAAUCUCAGAAAGGUGGAUUUUUAAAUAAUAAUAUAUUUUAAUAAUAUAUAUACAGUAUAUAGUUGCUGUAGGAGAAAAAUGAAGUAUUGAUGAAACUCAGAGUAUGUGAACAGAGUCACUAACAGAUUUGGUAAGAAACCUAAGACUUUGCAUACUGACAAUAGUGAUGAAUAUUGCAGAAAUGACAUUGAGCAUAUUUAAAAGAAUGGAGAAUUAACCAUAAAAGAACUAUUCCCUAUGCUCCAGAACAAAAUGGAGUUGCUGAGAGGAAAAAUAGGUCUUUACUGGAAAUGUGCAGAAGGAUGCUUCUUGAUGCAGGACUGGAGAAGAAGUACUGGGCGGAAGCUAUUAAGACAGCAAGAUAUGUCAAUUACUUCUGGAAGAAGGAUUUAGACAGGGAAAAGCUGAUCCUUGUCUGUCCACUAGAUAUAGAGAUAGAAGAUGGACAUAGAUUCUUAUAUGUAGAUGAUCUGAUUGUCAUCAGGAUAAGAAAUAUUAUGAUGAGAGUGGAGAGUUUAAAUAAAGAAGUAGAAAUUAAAGAUUUGGGUGAAGUAUCUCAGGAUACAAAUAAAAAGGUGAGAUGAUGGAAGUUUUAAACUCAAUUAGAGGUAAAAGAUAAUAGACAAUUGAGUGUCUUGGUUUAACAGAGGCAAAUGAGAUGAGUACUCCAAUGGAAGUGGGUUUCUUAAACGAGAAGUAAUUCAGUGAGUCUCUGGAAAGCAAUCAAAACUACAGAAUGGGAAUUGGAAAGUUACUGUUCAUUACAACCGUAUUGCAUCCUGAUAUUGCAGCAACAUUUGGAAUAUUGUGUAGGAAAAUUAAUUCACCAACAAAGAAGGACUGGGUUGCACUUAAAAGAAUUGCACAGUAUCUAAAGGGCACAGCAAAUAUAGAAUUAGUAUUGUCAGCAACCCAAGUUAGUAGGAUAUAUGGUUGUCAACUGAGCAGAAGAAAGAGAUGACAGAAAGUCAACUAAUGGCAAUGCAUUGUUCUAUGGAGGAGGAGCAAUCUCAUGGUUAACCAAGAAACAAUCUAUUGUAGUUUUAUCUUCAGCCAAAGCUGAGUAUAUAUCCAUGGCACAAGCUUGUCAAGAGGGUAUUUGGUUGCAUAAAUUUCUAGAAGAUUUUAGGGUAGUUGCAUUGAAGCUGACAAUAGUGUAUGAAGACAAUCAAGGUUGUAUUAUUCUGUCACAAAGUGAGAAGGUUACACAGAGAAGUAAACAUAGUGAUAUGAAAUAUCAUUUAGUAAGAUAAUUACAAGAGGAAAAUAUUAUUGAUAUAAAAUAUUGUGCUUCAGAAGAAAUGUUGCAGACAUUGAGAACACGAUUAGCCAGGGGCAAGUAUCAAAGUCUGUGGAUGACAAUUGGGUUUAUAAAUUAAGGAACAAAACAAUGACAAGGGGAAUGUUGGGAUUUAUGUGUAUAUACAUUGUCUUUGUUCUUGCCACUGAUGCAUUGUAUGUACUGUAUAUCUGUGUAUAGGCUUGGGAUAACGUUUAGAAGGUUUGUGUCAAUCAUCAGUUCUGUAGACUGAUUGGUUAGUUUGUAUUUCUUACUGGAUGCUUGAGACUGAUCUUUCCUGUAAGGAAGAUCUUUCACUCAGAGUAGGACUGUUGUUUUAUUAUGUAGUAAUAGUUAAAUAAUAAACCUUAGCAACUUUGUUCAAUAAACUCAA